CACGAAGGGGACUAGCGUUGUUCGGAAUCACUGGGCGUAAAGCGCGCGCAGGCGGUCUUCCAAGUCAGUGGUGAAAGCCCGGAGCUCAACUCCGGAACUGCCAUUGAAACUGUUAGACUUGAGGAUGAGAGAGGUGAGUGGAAUUCCCAGUGUAGAGGUGAAAUUCGUAGAUAUUGGGAAGAACACCGGUGGCGAAGGCGGCUCACUGGCUCAUAUCUGACGCUCAGGCGCGACAGCGUGGGGAUCAAACAGG
rnacentral:rRNA from 1 species